UACGGGGGGGGCAAGCGUUGUUCGGAAUUACUGGGCGUAAAGGGCUUGUAGGCGGCCAACUAAGUCCGACGUGAAAUCCCCAGGCUUAACCUGGGAACUGCGUCGGAUACUGGAUGGCUUGAAUUCGGGAGAGGGAUGCAGAAUUCCAGGUGUAGCGGUGAAAUGCGUAGAUAUCGGGAGGAAUACCAGUGGCGCAAGCGGCGCCCUGGCCGUGACCUGACACUGAGCCACGACGGCGUGGGGAGCAAACGGG
rnacentral:rRNA from 1 species